GCUCGGCUGGGGCAGCCCGUAAAUCACAUGACAUCCCUCCCCAACGGUCUGCCGUGUAAACGAAGGAUCGAUCGGACGGAGAUCGUAAGCUCUUGGAGCAGAGAUGUCGUGUUCGCCGGCACAAAAGAUCGUUGAACGGCAGCCGGCGUCCUCCGGAAGCCCCCCCGGGAGGCAGAGGGAAGGGAGGUGUACCAGACGUUAUGGAAGUAGGUCAGGAGGAGGCAACGGAAUGCAUCAAGUCGCUUCUCCAAGGACACCGAUCUGAUCGCCGGGUUUCCCGCGGAACGUCCGUUCGCCCCCCCCGACCGUUUGCUCGUCUAAUCCAUCACGGUCCAUCGCGGUCCUCGGACUCUGAGCAGAAACACUGGGCUGGCGGAGAAAUGGCGUAGGGCGCUUGAAAAUCCACAGACUCUCCGGGGAGAAAACCUUUCUUCUUUCUCACGGAUCACGUCUCUAAUCACCGCGGACACCCUCCGAGCCAUGAAAACUACCCGAUCGUGGCCAACCACCAACUCCCCCUUCGAGAAACGUCCAUUUGGGGGAAUUAUGGGUGCCGACGGAAUCGCUUCUUAACGGCGGAAGCGCGAGGUCCCUGAGCCGACCUCUGGAGUGUCUGAGUCUCUUCUCCAAGCCAAUGCAAUCUCCUGGCCUAAUUGCAUUUCAUUUCGGAUACCUUAA